GCCAUAUAGAGUUUUCUUGGACGUUGUUUGAUCUAGCUCAAGUGAGAAAAUUCUUUAGUUUCCUGUGAAGUGGUUUAAAAUUUAAUGAACAGAUUAAGGAUUUUCUUAGUAUCAUAUAUUAGGACCUAGUCAACUAACUUUAAAUUGUAGUUUUACUAUACUAAAAUAUUUUAUUUCUUUCUGCUGUUCAAUCCCUAUUUUAUAAAAACAUUUAUAGAAAGCAAAUUCCAGUACUCCUGGUAAGAAAAACAGAGGCCUUUUAACAAGUACUCCAUCUUCAGAGACAGCUGGUUUUGUGUUUCCUGCAAAUGCAUCAGAAAUAUGCUGUAUUAUUAGAGCAUCACCAGGAGGAGCUAGACAAGUAAAAAAUAAAGGUGUUAUUGUAAAGAAGAAGAAAUAUUCUCUUCCUAAGGAUAUCCCUCAAGAUAUCAUAAUAAAAAUGGCAUGAAAAAACAGCUGUGGCUGAAUUUUCACUACUUUGAAGACAGGAAUGUGAAGUCAGUCUAUAAAGCAGAAUGUCUGCCUGAAAUUAUAUGAAAUUAAUAAUAAAAAAUUCUCCAG
rnacentral:lncRNA from 1 species